AACGAACGCUGGCGGCAGGCUUAACACAUGCAAGUCGAACGCUCGGAGCAAUCCGGGAGUGGCAGACGGGUGAGUAACACGUGGGAACGUACCCUUUGGUUCGGAAUAACCCUGGGAAACUAGGGCUAAUACCGGAUACGGCCGCAAGGCGAAAGGUUUACUGCCGAAGGAUCGGCCCGCGUCCGAUUAGCUUGUUGGUGUGGUAAUGGCGCACCAAGGCGACGAUCGGUAGCUGGUCUGAGAGGAUGGCCAGCCACAUUGGGACUGAGACACGGCC
rnacentral:rRNA from 1 species